rnacentral:rRNA from 1 species
AUGCAAGUCGAGCGAAGCUUUUCAGUAGUUUACUACAGAAAAUGACUGAGCGGCGAACGGGUGAGUAACGCGUGAGCAAUCUACCUUAGUUACAGGGAUAGCCCGAGGAAACUCGGAUUAAUACCUGAUAUUCUUUAAAUUUCGCAUGAAAUUAAAAGGAAAGGUCAGCCGAACUAAGAUGAGCUCGCGUUCUAUCAGCUAGUUGGUGAGGUAAAAGCUCACCAAGGCAACGACGGAUAGCUGGUCUGAGAGGACGAUCAGCCACACUGGGACUGAGACACGGCCCAGACUCCUACGGGAGGCUGCAGCAGGGAAUAUUGCGCAAUGAGCGAAAGCUUGACGCAGCGACACCGGGUGUGGGAUGACGGAUCUAGGUUUGUAAACCACUUUCAGGAGGGAAGAAAAUGACGGUACCUCCACAAGAAGCCCCGGCCAACUACGUGCCAGCAGCCGCGGUAAUACGUAGGGGGCGAGCGUUGUCCGGAUUUAUUGGGCGUAAAGAGCUCGUAGGCGGUUCAACAAGUCGGUCGUAAAAGUUCAGGGCUCAACCCUGAAAUGUCGAUCGAUACUGUUGUGACUAGGAUACGGUAGAGGUGAGUGGAAUUCCGAGUGUAGCGGUGAAAUGCGUAGAUAUUCGGAGGAACACCAAUUGCGGAGGCAGCUCACUGGGCCGCUAUCGACGCUGAGGAGCGAAAGCUAGGGGAGCAAACAGGAUUAGAUACCCUGGUAGUCCUAGCUGUAAACGAUGGAUACUAGACGUAGGAACUGGAUUGACGGUUUCUGUGUCGUAGCUAACGCGUUAAGUAUCCCGCCUGGGGAGUACGGUCGCAAGACUAAAACUCAAAGGAAUUGACGGGACCCCGCACAAGCGGCGGAGCAUGCGGCUUAAUUCGAUGAUACCCGUAGAACCUUACCUGGACUUGACAUAUAGGGUCAAGCUAUAGAGAUAUAGUGUGCAUUAGCGCCCUAUACAGGUGGUGCAUGGC